rnacentral:rRNA from 1 species
CUCCAGACUCCUACGGGAGGCAGCAGUGGGGGAUAUUGCACAAUGGGGGGAACCCUGAUGCAGCGACGCCGCGUGGGUGAAGGAGCGUUUCGGCGCGUAAAGCCCUAUCGGCAGGGAAGAAGGAGGACGGUACCUGACUAAGAAGCCCCGGCUAACUACGUGCCAGCAGCCGCGGUAAUACGUAGGGGGCAAGCGUUAUCCGGAUUUACUGGGGGUAAAGGGGGCGCAGACGGCAGCGCAAGCCAGGAGUGAAAGCCCGGGGCCCAACCCCGGGACUGCUCUGGAAACUGCGGCGCUGGAGUACGGGAGGGGCAGGCGGAAUUCCUGGUGUAGCGGUGAAAUGCGUAGAUAUCAGGAGGAACACCGGCGGCGAAGGCGGCCUGCUGGACCGUGACUGACGUUGAGGCUCGAGAGCGUGGGGAGCAAACAGGAUUAGAUACCCGUGUAAC